UGAUUUUUCUCUUACAGAUCAUCGCCAAGCAUGGCUCUUAAUUUCUGCGACACUUCGAUGAGUUAUUUCCUUUCCAGAUCAUCGCCAAUUCUGUCUGAAGCACGUGACAUUGAUUAAGCUUGUUCUUUAUAACGUUAUCUGGGAGAGAUUUUGGGCUGACUUAAGCGAUUUGAAUGUUGAGAAGACUGUUUUGGAUGUGGGAACUGGAAGCGGCAUUCUUGCGAUAUGGUCAGCACAGGCUGGAGCAAGGAAAGUAUACGCAGUGGAAGCAACUAAGAUGGCAGAACAUGCUCGUACUCUUAUCAAAGCAAAUAAUCUUCAACAUUUGGUUGAAGUAAUUGAGGGCUCAAUGGAAGAUAUAACUUUACCGGAGAAAGUUGACGUGAUAAUCUCUGAGUGGAUGGGAUAUUUUCUUCUAUG